GUGCUUGCUUCGGCAGCACAUAUACUAAAAUUGGAACGAUACAGAGAAGAUGAGCAUGGCCCCUGUGCAAGAGUGACACUUUAAAAUGUAAAAAAGAAAAUU